GUUAUUGAUUGUUUGAUAGUUUCAGAUUAAUAAAGUAUUUCAUCUCUAAUGGUUGAAAUUAAAUACAUUUCGGAUUAUAGUUCUAUGUCUUGAUUGAAAUCUGAAUUACGAAAUAGAUUGAUUGCUUUUGCUAGAUAUGUAAAUCUCCUUUACUUGCUUGAUUCAAUUUGAAUUUUUAAUGUUUGAUGUUUAUGCUAAUAAGAUUUUGUUGUCUCUGUUUUGGUAAGGUUAAAUGGAGGUUUUAAGCUUCUGAUUUAGUAAAUGUGAGACUGAGAGUUUGUUCUUGUCUUUCAGCUGAGUCUGUUCUACUUGGGUUUCAACACUACCUUGUGCUUGGAACAACAGUUCUGAUUUCUUCGGCUCUUGUUCCACAAAUGGGAGGUGGAAAUGAAGAGAAGGCGCAGCUGAUCCAGACAAUACUGAUUUUGUAAUGUAUGAUAUUUUCAUUUCAAUUGACAUAAACUGAUUUUGGUCUAUGUAUUUUGCACAAUUCUGUGUUUGCUAUUAGUGGUUUCUGCGACCAUCAUCAUCAUACAUUUUGUGGUGUAAAGAUCAAUGGGCUGAAGUCAAGAAGCAAAACCCUGAGGCUGACUUCAAGGAAACCAUUGUGGGUAAAGUAGUGUUUGGGACGAAGUGGUGUGUUGUCUGAUGCCAAAGAGACCAACUUGUGCAAGUGUUUUUUUGCUAGAUGCCAAAGAGACCAAUGUGUGCAAGUGGUGUGUUGUCUAGAUGCCAAAUGAGAGAGACAGAAAAGAAAAGGAGACUUGUAUAUGUACUACAAAUAAUUUAUGAAAAUUGUGUACCACAAAUAAGCUAGAAUGAAUGUGUACCAUAAACUUUAUUCUUUGUAUGUUUUGCCUUUGCUAUAAAUAAUGGAAUCGUCUUUCGAUAUCUCA